rnacentral:lncRNA from 1 species
GUGGCACUGUUUUGGGAGCUGUCUGUAAUCCACCAAGCGACUGAACUCAUCCACUGCGAGUUGUGGGGCAGCCAUGCUUCUCUACAAGGAUACAGAUACCAAGAGAAAGAACCCAUUCUGCAGGUGGAGAAAAAGAGGACUCUGGGGUCUGUUACCUGAGUUUCCAGCUGUCUCCUGAGCCAGGUUCAGCACCUUCCUCUGUCUCGUAGCAAAUCAGCCCCUGGAUUCAGCGAGAUAUCCUGAGAGCCUACAAGUAACUUUGGCUGCCCACCUGUAUUCUUUUUCUUAUUUGUUAUUAAUUUAUGUUGAGACUCCAUCUCAAAAAAAAAAGUUACAGAGGAUGUGCAGAGGUCAUAUGCAAAUACUGUACCAUUUUACAGAAGGGAUUUGGACAUUCAUGAAUUUCGAUAUCCACCAGGGUCCUGGAACCAAUCCUCCUCGGAUACCAAGGGAUGACUGUCAUUUCUUUAGACGAAAGGUGCCACCCACAAUAAAUAGAAUAAGGAUAACUGGGACUUUCUGUAUACAGAGACCUCUAGUAAAAUGCUGGCCCGGACCCCAUCCACCGCUCACCUUCUCGGGACAAAAUUCAGGAUUGCUCUGACGCAAUUUGCUAGGUCUGCCCUUGAUAACAGCAUAGCAAAACAUUGUUAUCACCAUCACAAAGAGGAAGUAACUGGUGUGCAUGAGAUGCAAAUUUAUUAAUGAACGGUCAUCCUAAAUAAAGAAGAGAAAAAAAAUCAGAAACAUCUGCUCUGAGUGACUGAAAGGUUUUAAUGCUGGGUUUUGAGAGACAGGAUUGACAGCCUCCAGACUUGCCACAACUUUUCUUCUUAAGCUGCAAGAGGAGGUUUCUCCUUUUGCCUCCUAAAUGACCAAAGCUGGGUCUCAUUAAGUGAAGACAUGGUGCUCCCGAGCCUCUGUUGGAGAGCACCACGCCUUCCUAGCGCUGUCCUCUGCCCUGCCUUCUGCACCCCCACACUGCCUGAACCCUGCCCCUCCAGCAGGCUUCCUCCCCUGCAAAUGCUGCAGACACUCCAUCUUUAAGCCCCACUCCUUUCUGGACACAUCCUCGUCACAAGACUGCCCUCAGGUUGCAUGGCUGACAGCCGAGGCUGCAUUCCUAACUCCUGACUAUGCCCCCACCAGGAAGGCCUCGGCACCUCACCCCUCCCCAGGGGUCACGCCCUUCCUCCUGCUUUUCUCUAUUUCCCUAAGUCCUUGGAUGAAAAUGCUGAGAUCAUCCGUGAUUCACUACCCUUUGACCUCCCACAUGCAGUCAAUUCCCAGACCCUGCAAGUUACUAAAGGGACCCCAGACAUGGUUCCAUUCCUUUACCCUCUAGUAUCUCCAGGCCUCAGGACAGCUCUGGGCUCCCCCAGGUCAUUUAUAACAUAGCGGGGCAGCUCAGUCUUCUCAACACACUGCUUUACCAACACCCACGCCCCAAACACAGGCAGGGACUGCCCUUGGCCAGGCACUAAGGGCCUCAGCCCACCAUCCAGCCUGACCUCCAUAGCUGGCUCCUGCAGGACCCUGGCCUACAAAUGAGCCCCAGAAAAGGGCAAAGGUCGGGCAUAGUGGCUCAUGCCUAUAAUCCCAGCACUUUGGGAGGCUGAGGUGGGAGGAUCACCUGAAGUCAGCAGUUCAACACCAACCUGGCCAACAUGUCGAAACCUUAUCUCUACCAAAAAUACAAAAAUUAGCUGGGCGUGUUGGCAGGUGCCUGUAAUCCCAGCUACUUAGAAUCACUUCAAUCCAGGAGGCAGAGGUUGCAACGAACCGAGAUUGUGCCACUGCACUCCAGCCUGGGUGACAGAGAAAGACUCAAUCUCAAAAAAUAAAAAUAAAAAAAAAUUAAAAUAAAGAAAAAAAGAAAAGGGCAAAGGGCCAGGCCAAAAGAAGAGAGAUCCAGCUAACACACACUGCCAGAAAGGAACAUAUUUAUAAAAUAUCAAAGCAGUGUUAAAAAGUGGGCUUGGGCCAGGUGCAGCGGCUCAUACCUGUCAUCCCAGAAACUUUGGAGGCCAAGGCAGGAGGAUCGCUUGAGACCAGGGGUUCAAGACCAGCCUGGGCAACACAGCAAGACCCCCGUCUCUACAAAAAGUUUAAAAAUUAUCCCGGCAUGGUGACAUGCACCUGUAGUCCCAGCCACUUGGGAAGCUUGAGCCCAGGAGGCUGAAGCUGCAGUGAGCUAUGAUUGCGCCACUAGACCCCAAUCUGGGCGACAGAGCAAGAUCCUGUCUCUAAAAAAGUAAGUGGGCUCAAGUCUAAGUAGGAAGCUGAGCUAGCAGCACACAGCUACUAGAUGAGAUAGGUAAGUAUUUUGUUCCCCUUGCCUCUUGGUUAAGUUAAAUCCUAUUCAGGCCUCACUCUCUAGCCGAAGAUUCAUCUCCUCCUACUACUCCCUUCUAUCUUUCAGAACUCUAAGCAGCACUAUUUCUUGUUCACACGGACACUAACUAGAUAGUCUUCUAUGAACGUCUGUGAACAUCCCUCUAAGAUAAUAUUAAUAGAAGGAUCCCUUGUAACCCCCCCCAGGGAUUAGGCAGUUGCUCAAGAAAUAACUGCUGCUGAACAACAGAGAAAAUGAAGAGAAAAACCAGAUUUUUCUUAACCAAUGGGUAACAUGUUUUUCCAAGCAUCCACCACUCCGCCUAGUGUCCUAACUCACCUGGAAAUCUAAAGUGGCAGAGGAUACGCUUACCCAGGGAAGUCAGCAGGGCCUACACCAACGGUUGCAGCACAUGCGCACACAUGUGCAUAUGCAUGCACGCACACACACACACACAAUUUUUCUCACUUACAUCUGGAACAAUCACUGUAAGCUUGGGAUUUAAAGCAUGAUAGACUUUUCCAAUGGCCCCCUUAUAACACCAGAAAGGAUUGUAAUCUUGGGCGUAUUUUGUGUUGGCAUCUCUGGCAGUUGUGAAGAUCUUGUACCAGAGCGUGGCGUUGCUGUACGUGUCAGGAACACAGUGCGGUGGCUGUCUGCAGGAGAAGAGGAGGAGGAAAGACACGUGCUCAGUGGCCUGAGUCAUUCACUUGUGUCACCCCCACAGCAGCUGGUAAAACACUGAACACGGCAACACACAUGGAAAGGAAAAAUGUAACUUACACGUUCAUGCUUCUUUGAGAUAAAUACCAUUAUAUUUUAGUUUGAGGGUCUUUUUU